rnacentral:rRNA from 1 species
AUACGUAGGUGACAAGCGUUAUCCGGAUUUACUGGGCGUAAAGGGCGCGCAGGCGGUAUAUCAAGUCAGCUGUCAAAGACUGGGGCUCAACCCUGGUAUGCGGUUGAAACUGAUAUGCUGGAGUGCUGUAGAGGCAAGUGGAAUUCCCAGUGUAGCGGUGAAAUGCGUAGAUAUUGGGAAGAACACCGGUGGCGAAGGCGACUUGCUGGGCAGCAACUGACGCUGAGGCGCGAAAGCCAGGGGAGCAAACGGGAUUAGAUACCCCGGUAGUCCUGGCCGUAAACGAUGAAUGCUAGGUGUGUGUGUAGAGAUACAUGCGUGCCGGAGUUAACGCGAUAAGCAUUCCGCCUGGGGAGUACGGUCGCAAGAUUGAAACUCAAAUGAAUUGACGGGG